rnacentral:rRNA from 1 species
AACGCAGCAAAGGGCGAUAAGUAAUGUGAAUUGCAGAAUUUAGUGAAUCAUCGAAUCUUUGAACGCACAUUGCGCCCCUCGGUAUUCCGGGGGGCAUGCCUGUUCGAGCGUCAUCUCACCUCUCAAGCUUGGCUUGGUUAUGGGCGACAGUUGUCUGGUGGACGGACUCGCCUCAAAAGCAAUCAGACCGGGCCGUCGGCACCGAACGUAGUGAAUUUACCUCGUUACGGCGACCGACGAUCACUCCGUCGUGACCCAUCUAAGAUUGACCUCGGGUCAGGUAGGGAUACCCGCUGAACUUAA